GGUGGCUCAGUGGUAGAGCGCUUGCUUUGCAUGCAUGAGGCCUGGGUUCGAUUUUCGGACCA
rnacentral:tRNA from 1 species